rnacentral:misc_RNA from 1 species
GAUGAAGAACGCAGCGAAAUGCGAUAAGUAAUGUGAAUUGCAGAAUUCAGUGAAUCAUCGAAUCUUUGAACGCACAUUGCGCCCUUUGGCAUUCCGAAGGGCACACCUGUCCGAGCGCCGUCGCACAACUGAGGCGCAGCCUUGCGUUGGCGGGCGACUUGUGAGUAGCGAGUCGCCGCCCAAACGAGACGGCGCCGCGCCGCGGCCGACGAAGCACGAAAGCGGAAGUCGACGCGGAGGCGGUUGCCUGUAGGAAGACACAGCUUGGCCUCGGAUCAGGUGGGGAUACCCGCUGAACUUAAGCAUAUCAAUAAGAGGAGGA